rnacentral:lncRNA from 1 species
GACAGAUGGAUUCAUCCUCUAGACCAUUCUUGGAAGGGGAGAGGGAUGACGCAAUGUCCCUUGGGAAGCCCCCGUCCCCAGCUCCCAUGUGGAAGACAUCAGCAUCCACAGAUGCAGCACAGAAUUGCUGGAGCCAGGACCAGCAGCUGGGAUGCAGAUAUGUAGGGGGAUUGCCGGGGCCUGGGAAACAGGACCGCCCUUGUGCCUUCCUCAGCUUCCCUCAUCACAAUGCAAACCUCCCUACCCACAUUGCUUCUUCAGGACACUGACAGAGGAUGCAGGAGGAGGAAACGUCACUUACCCUCUGGUAAUACACAUGGGCCAGGACUCCCGCCACCAGCUCAACCAGGAAGAUGACGAGCAACAGGCAGAAAUACUAGCAGCAAAGAGAGAGGACGGUCACCACUGGGAUCGGGUUGCUGCUAUGACAAAUGUUUCCCCACAGUGGUGGGGGUGGUAGAGAUACCUGCUGGGACCCCUAUCAUCCAUGCCAUCUUCCUCCUGGAUGUACCAGCCUCACUGGCUGCUGGCACCAAGUUCCCCACUUACUCCUUCCCUCUUUGGUCUGCUGACAAUUCAGUACGGCAUGUACCCAUCCAAUAUGUAUUAAAUACAUGCCAUAUGCCAGA